rnacentral:rRNA from 1 species
UACGUAGGUGGCGAGCGUUGUCCGGAUUUACUGGGCGCAAAGCGCGCGCAGGCGGACUGAUCAGUCUGGGGUGAAAUCUCACGGCUCAACUGUGAGCGGUCCCUGGAUACUGUCAGUCUUGAGAUGUCUAGAGGAGAGCGGAAUUCCCGGUGUAGUGGUGGAAUGCGUAGAUAUCGGGAAGAACACCAGUGGCGAAAGCGGCUCUCUGGGGACCAUCUGACGCUGAGGCGCGAAAGCGUGGGAGCGAACCGG